AAAUUGAAGAGUUUGAUCAUGGCUCAGAUUGAACGCUGGCGGCAGGCCUAACACAUGCAAGUCGAACGGUAACAGGAAGCAGCUUGCUGCUUCGCUGACGAGUGGCGGACGGGUGAGUAAUGUCUGGGAAACUGCCUGAUGGAGGGGGAUAACUACUGGAAACGGUGGCUAAUACCGCAUAACGUCGCAAGACCAAAGAGGGGGACCUUCGGGCCUCUUGCCAUCAGAUGUGCCCAGAUGGGAUUAGCUUGUUGGUGAGGUAACGGCUCACCAAGGCGACGAUCCCUAGCUGGUCUGAGAGGAUGACCAGCCACACUGGAACUGAGACACGGUCCAGACUCCUACGGGAGGCAGCAGUGGGGAAUAUUGCACAAUGGGCGCAAGCCUGAUGCAGCCAUGCCGCGUGUAUGAAGAAGGCCUUCGGGUUGUAAAGUACUUUCAGCGGGGAGGAAGGUGUUGUGGUUAAUAACCGCAGCAAUUGACGUUACCCGCAGAAGAAGCACCGGCUAACUCCGUGCCAGCAGCCGCGGUAAUACGGAGGGUGCAAGCGUUAAUCGGAAUUACUGGGCGUAAAGCGCACGCAGGCGGUCUGUCAAGUCGGAUGUGAAAUCCCCGGGCUCAACCUGGGAACUGCAUUCGAAACUGGCAGGCUUGAGUCUUGUAGAGGGGGGUAGAAUUCCAGGUGUAGCGGUGAAAUGCGUAGAGAUCUGGAGGAAUACCGGUGGCGAAGGCGGCCCCCUGGACAAAGACUGACGCUCAGGUGCGAAAGCGUGGGGAGCAAACAGGAUUAGAUACCCUGGUAGUCCACGCCGUAAACGAUGUCUACUUGGAGGUUGUGCCCUUGAGGCGUGGCUUCCGGAGCUAACGCGUUAAGUAGACCGCCUGGGGAGUACGGCCGCAAGGUUAAAACUCAAAUGAAUUGACGGGGGCCCGCACAAGCGGUGGAGCAUGUGGUUUAAUUCGAUGCAACGCGAAGAACCUUACCUGGUCUUGACAUCCACAGAACUUUCCAGAGAUGGAUUGGUGCCUUCGGGAACUGUGAGACAGGUGCUGCAUGGCUGUCGUCAGCUCGUGUUGUGAAAUGUUGGGUUAAGUCCCGCAACGAGCGCAACCCUUAUCCUUUGUUGCCAGCGAUUCGGUCGGGAACUCAAAGGAGACUGCCAGUGAUAAACUGGAGGAAGGUGGGGAUGACGUCAAGUCAUCAUGGCCCUUACGACCAGGGCUACACACGUGCUACAAUGGCGCAUACAAAGAGAAGCGACCUCGCGAGAGCAAGCGGACCUCAUAAAGUGCGUCGUAGUCCGGAUUGGAGUCUGCAACUCGACUCCAUGAAGUCGGAAUCGCUAGUAAUCGUGGAUCAGAAUGCCACGGUGAAUACGUUCCCGGGCCUUGUACACACCGCCCGUCACACCAUGGGAGUGGGUUGCAAAAGAAGUAGGUAGCUUAACCUUCGGGAGGGCGCUUACCACUUUGUGAUUCAUGACUGGGGUGAAGUCGUAACAAGGUAACCGUAGGGGAACCUGCGGUUGGAUCACCUCCUUACCUUAAAGAA
rnacentral:rRNA from 1 species